AUGUCAUUGUUCACUUCUUACCAGGUCACAGGCCACGGGUCCAUAUUGAUGGGGAAUGGCGCGAGUGCUUCUGUUCAUGGUGUUGGCACGGUCGAUCUGAAGUUUACUUCGGGAAGGAUCGUGCAGCUGAAGAACGUGCAGCAUGUCCCCGCCAUCAAGAAGAACCUCGUUAGUGGCUCCCUUCUAUGUAGAGAAGGGUUUAAGUUGGUUUUCGAGUCUAAUAAAUUAGUUGUUACGAAAUAUGGACUCUUUGUUGGAAAAGGUUAUGAGAGCGGAGGGAUGUUCCGCCUUUCCCUCGCAGAUUUUUGUAAUAAAGUCGUGAACCAUGUUCAUUCGAAUGUUAAUGAAUCUGAGGUUUGGCAUUCACGUCUUUGUCACAUUAGUUUCGGUGUUAUGACGCGGCUAGCCAAGUUGGAUUUAAUCCCGAGUUUUACUUUAGCCAAAGGCUCUAAGUGCCUUUCAUGUGUGCAAGCUAAGCAACCCGCAAGCCUCACAAGGCCGCGGAGGAGAGACACUUGGCACCAUUAG
rnacentral:rRNA from 1 species